GCUUCUCCAUAUGGCUAAUUUAGGCUUCCUCACAGCAUCAUAAUCUUAGGAUUGCAAGAGGGGACAUUCCAAAAAGACAAGCCUCAAUGUGCAAGCCUUUACUUUUAUCAUGCUUACUAAUGUGUCACUGGCCAAAGCAAGUCUCAUGGCCAAGCUCAGCGUCAGUGUGGGGAGGAACUACACAAGAUUGUGAAUAUUGGGAGGUGUGACAUAUUGGUAGUCAUUUAGACUAGGGACAGACCACCUUAAUCCAAUCAAGAGAAUAAUUAAAAGUUACUUCCAGGGUAUAGCCCAGUUCCAACUUAAAAUCUUUCCUCCUUAGGUCCUGAACUCAAUAUUUUUACCCACCCAAUCCCACACCCACUCCCCUUGAGGCAGUUGAAAACUCUGGCUAGUUUCUCAGCCUCUCUCCAUUACUGCUUUCUGAAUGUUAAUUGCCUCGAAGGGAAAAGUGGCACCAAAUUCUGGACUCAAAAUCUUGGAUUUAGGCCCCUCAGACUGUUGAAGUUCUACUGCUCCAGAAAAGAGUAAUAACAGGAUGGAGAUGGAGUUUCAUGACAAAAAUGAAGGUGAAUAUGAUGUGGAAAAUACAAAGAUGGAAGCAACAAGCUAAGGAUGCUGGGGCAGAAAGAUGGAACCUGGGUUACUCAUGACAUCUUGAAACUGCUGCAGCCAUCCUAGACUGGCUGCCUCUAGACUUAAUAUGUUUAGAAAGUAAAUCCCAAUUUUAUUAAA
rnacentral:lncRNA from 10 species